CUUUCUACACAGGUUGGGAUCGGUUGCAAUGCUGUGUUUUUGUAUGGUAUUGCACUUGUCCCGGCCUGUUGAGUUUGG
rnacentral:pre_miRNA from 1 species